rnacentral:rRNA from 1 species
GGAGUUUGGACCGUGUCUCAGUUCCAAUGUGGGGGACCUUCCUCUCAGAACCCCUACUGAUCGUCGGCUUGGUGGGCCGUUACCCCGCCAACAACCUAAUCAGACGCAUCCCCAUCCUAUAGCGGCAAGCCUUUGUUCCAUCUUAGAUGUCUGCAACGGAAAACAUAGAGUAUUAAUCCGACUUUCGCCGGGCUAUCCUCUACUAUAGGGAAGGUUGGAUACGCGUUACUCACCCGUGCGCCGGUCGCCAUCAGAGUUUGCAAGCAAACUCCAUGAUGCCCCUCGACUUGCAUGUGUUAAGCCUGUAGCUAGCGUUCAUC